CUAGAUAGAGAAUUAAAAACAAAAGAAUGUUAAAUGGGAAAUUAAAAUUAUAAAUGGUGCUAGAUAUGAAAUUUUAAGCAAAGUCGAAUACCGAUUUAGCUUUUAAAAAUUCUAACUAAUUUUUUGUACAAUACAUCUUCCAAAACCCAAAUUUGCUUCUUCUCUUCCAAACCCUAAUUCCAUCUUUCACUCUAAUUCUAACUCUCUGACCCCAUUUCUUGAAGAUGACACUGUUCUUCAAUAAUGUUGAAAGAAGAAUGUUAAGGUUUUCUCUUUCUUCUUCUCUCCCCCAUUUUCUUCUUUCUCAUCCAAACCCUAAUUCCCUCUUUCAUUCUCAUUCUCACCCUCAGACCCAAUCAAGAUGACUCUGUUUCCCAAUUCAAUCGCUUGCUUCGUAUGCACCCUGUCCUCCCCUCUUCGAAUUUGGAAAGAUUUUGGGAAUUAGAAUGAGAAUGUGAAAGAAAGUGAGAAUGAAUAAAAGGAAGGAGGAACCUUGCGGCGGUGGAACUCCGACCGGUGGUUGCUGGUGCUGAUUGUAAUAACUCAUUGGGAAUGAGAUGAUUGAAUGAAGAAGUGAAUGAAUGAGAGAAGAAGAAGAAUUGGGGUAUAUCCCCUCACACCCAAUAAAUUAUCUUAUUUUCUCACACACUUUAUUUUGCAUUCAGUCAAAUAUCUUUAAUUUUAACCAGUGGUUACACAAUGUGUAACUCUAUUUUUUAUUUUUUCAUUUAUAUAUUAAACAAUAUUAUUAUUUAUAUUAAUAAUAAAAAAUUACAUUAUAUUAUAAAUAGAAAAAGUUAUUAUCAUUAUUAUUAUGGAAAAUCAUAUAUCUUGAUAUGAAUUGGCUUAAUCAAAUAGGAAUGAUUAAUAUUUUUUAAGUGUUUCAUUGUUUAUAAUAUAUAUAUAUAUAUAUAUAAUUUUCUGUUUUCAUAAUUUUUUUUUUGAUAAAUAUGUGAAUAUUUGUUAUCUUUAAUAUAUAAUCUAUACCUUUAAAAGGGAUUUUUAUUUUUAACGGUUUUUGAUAUACAUAUUUUUUUUAUCUCAUUUUAUUUUUAUAUAUUAAUAUUCUAUUUUAUUAUUUUAGGUUGAUUAUUUCGUCCUCUUUAUUUAUCCUAAAAUGUUAUCAAAAGUGAAAAAUUUUGAAAAUUUCUGAAAUUUAGUAAAUUUUUAAAACAUGAACGGCUACUUCCAAAUUUGAUUUUAUGGGUUUCGUUUUUCUCUUAAUUGAAACAGAUUAUGAGAUAAGGGUUUACUUUAAUACUGCAAAUGUUGAAGAGCCUCAACAAAGUGAUUACAUAUAAUUGAUUAUGUCACUUUAUCUUUAUGAUAAUUAUAUUUUUUUUCAUCUAUACUUAUAUAUAAAAGAGAUUUUUCUAAAUAACAUUUUUUUAUAUAUCUAUUUUUUAAAAUUUUAUCUUUAUAUUAAAAAGGAUUCUUCUUUUUGUAACUGUUUUUGAUAUACAUAUUUUUUUUCUCAUUUUAUUUUUAUAUAUUAAUAUUUUAUUUUAUUAUUUUAGGCUGUUUAUUCUGUCCUUUUUAUUUAUCACAAAAUGUUGUCAAAAGCGAACAAUUUUGAAAAUUUAUGAAAUUUAGCAAAUUUUUAAAAUGUGAGCGGUUCCUUUCAAAUUUGUUUUUCUGGGUUUUGUUUCUCUCUUUUUUCUCUUAAUUGAAACUGAUUAUGAAAUAAGGGUUUACUUCAAUACGACAAAUGUUGAAGAGUCUCAACAAAGUGAUUACAUAUAAUUGAUUAUGUCCCUUUAUCGUUUAUCUCUUUUUUCUCUUAAUUGAAGCAAAUUAUGAGAUAAGGGUUUACUUCAAUACGCCAAAUGUUGAAGAGCCUCAACUGAGUGAUUACAUAUAAUUGAUUAUGUCACUUUAUCGUUUCUCUCUUUUUUUUUCUCUUAAUUGAAACAAAUUAUGAGAUAAGGGUUCACUUUAAUACUACAAAUGUUCAAGAGCCUCAACUGAGUGAUUACAAAUCAAAUAAUUGAUCAUGUCACUUUAUCUUUAUGAUAACUAUAUAUAUUUUUCAUCUAUACCUAUAUAUAAAGGAGAUUUUCCUAAAUAACCAUUUAUACAUAUAUAUAUAUGUAUAUUUAAUUUUAUCUUUAUAUUACAAGAGUUAUCAAAAGAAUUUUAGUGAUUUUGUAAUUUUGUAAAUAUGAAAACAUAAUCAGUUUUGAACGUAGAGCAGUUUUGAAGGUAGAGUAGUUUUAAAUUUAAAAUUAAUGUCCAUCUCCUCAGUUUUCACGACGGUUACUUUCUUUUUUGAAAUAUGUUUUAAUCUCAAUGUUACAUCUUCAAUCAACCACAAUAUAACAUUUAAUUUAUUAAUUUAUUUUUAAUAAAUACAUAUACCUAUAUAAUAAUUAAAAAAAAUACGGAUACAUAGACGCCUCUGUUUCUGCUAGUAACAAAUAGUGUAAACAGAAUAUUCACAUAUACUUAUCCUUACGUGCCACACAAACAUAAAAUGAACUAUACCUAAUUUUUUAGAUAACAAAAUAUCUCUAUAAACAACAUUUUUGGUAAAAAUUUCAUCUUCCCCUUCAAGGUGUCCUUCUUUAAUAAGAUUUUUUAUUGAAGCUUAGGAAACACCUCUUGAUAAUGCAAGAUAUAAUUGACCAUGAGGUGUACAUGUAAUUAAUCACAUAAGGAACUUUCGUGUUGUACAUAUUAACGUUGGCCUUGAGGGGUGCGUUUGCUGGCGAUACGAUCGACAAAGACGAUGAACUCAUUAACAAUGUGGGGUUGGGAGUAGUCAAAGUGAUCUUCAUUGUCGGAAGCGUUCGCGAGAAUCAUGGGAUCAUAACCUUCACCUGUGCAUCUAAGCACCAACAACGACGUGUGAUCUUCAUUGUUUUCUCUCUCGCUCUAGAUUUUCUCUUUCUCACUCCCUCUAAAAAAAACUCAAUAAAAGUUCAAAGAGAAUGAGAGAGAAUAGAUCAAAAAAAAAUAUUACACAAAAUAUUCAGAUGUGUACUCGCAUAAAAUUGACACGAAAACACGAAAACACACAUAGGGAGAAUGAAAAAGAGAGGAAAAAAUUCCACAAAGAUACGAAAUAACAAACUUGCAAAGAAAAGAAGAACAAAUUUGCAGAAAAAAGAGAGGAGAAAUGAGAGAAGAAUAAAUAUAAUGAUAAAUAAUAUAUAAUCAUAAAAAGUGUAAUAAAGAAGUUGGGUAAUGAAGAAGAGAAUGUGCAUGCCUAAGAAUAAUGAAAGAGUUCUUUUUGUUGAAAGCAUCAAAUUUUCUUCUUCUUUUUUUCUUGCAUCAUACACACCGUUACAAUUUUGGGAAAAAGGGUUCACUUCUUAGAUCCAGAGUUAAUUGAGAAAGUUACAUGUUUAAUGACGUCGCGGAGAGAGGUUCUUGGAUGGUGUAAGUGAUUUUUCUCAACCAUUGCAGAAGAAAGAAAGGAAGAAGAAUGGGGUUGGAAGGCAAAUGUUUGGUUAGUUAAGUGAAAAGAGGAGUGACUCAAAACAUUUUGAAUUAUGUUUACAAUUACUAAAUAAUUCAUAAUUAAAUAUUGAAAAUUCAAAAAUUCAAAAUUUAAAAUUCAAAAUUUAGUUUUUAAAAAUAAAGAAUUCACAAAAUGACAAAUAUCUCCUCUCACACAUAUUUAAAAUAACAAAAUAAAAUAUAAAGAUAAAUAUAAAAUUGAAAUAAAAUAAAGUGAAAGUUAAGAGGAAAAUCACUUUUAUAUAUAGGUAUAGAUAAAUACAAAUACAUAUAUAAUAAUUAUAAAAAUAAAAAAUAUGAAUGCCAAACAUUCAUAAGUUUUCUCAUAUGACAUUUGCUUAGCACAAACCGGACUCCACACCGUUCAACUCAACCAAAUUUGUGUCUCCUUCUCUUUUCUUUGCUUUACAUUACCCCUUCUUCACUCUUUUAUUAUUUAAUAAAAAUAACAGUGAAGAAGGGGUAACACAAAGUAAGGAAAGAGAGAAAGAGACACAAAUUUGACUGAGUUGAAUGCUGUGAAGUCCAGCUUAUGCAAAGCAAAUGUCAUCUUAGAAGCAGGCAUCCAAUAGGCAACAAAAGCAGAGAGCAACCAAAUUGUACAAUUCAUAAAUUUCGAAAAGUGAACAUCACCAUACAACAACAAUGCAGUGCCAUAUCCUAUUUCUUCUCCCUGCUAAUGAAUAUUAAAAGAACAACAAUAAUAAAACAAGAAAAAUACAAAGCGAUAAUUGAAAAUUAGUUAAUUCGAUGUUAUGUAAUGUAUCGUUAAAACACAACACAAUAUUUCAUUUAACACAGAAUAUGACGUAGACUCUAAGAAAAGAAUGUAAAGAAGCAGUUAAGAAUGGUGCACACAAUAGCUAAUAAAGUGUAACGUUGCGCCGACAACGGUCACCGAGUCAAGUCAGAAUAAUCCAGAUCGGAUCUGACUCGGCGGUCGAAAUUAGAGAGACGCACCAACCUUCCAAGCAACGAGAGCCCUGUAAAUUUUUUUUAUGUUGGGGCGGAGGCGGAGCGUAUUUAGAAGCAUAGGGCGAAAUGGUGUUGGGAGUAGUCAAAGUGAUCUUCAUUGUCGGAAACGUUCGCGAGAAUCAUGGGAUCAUAACCUUCACCUGUGCAUCUAAGCAACAACAACGACGUGUGAUCUUCAUUGUUUUCUCUCUCACUCCCUCUAAAAAAAACUCAAUAAAAGUUCAAAGAGAAUUAGAGAGAAUAGAUCAAAAACAAAAAAUUACACAAAAUAUUCAGAUGUGUACUCGCAUAAUAUUGACACGAAAACACACCUAGGGAGAAUGAAAAAGAGAGGGAAAAAAUGCACAAAGAUAAGAAAUAACAAACUUGCAAAGAAAAGAAAAAUAAAUUUGCAGAGAAAAAGAGAUGAGAAAUGAGAGGCGAAUAAAUAUAAUGAUAAAUAAUAUAUAAUCAUACAAAGUGUAACAAAGAAGUUGAGUAACGACGAAGAGAAUGUGCAUAUCUAAAACGAAUGAAAGAGUUAUUUUUGUUGAAAGCAUGGAACUUUCUUCUUUUUUUUCCUACAUCAUUACUUACCGUUACACUUUUGGGAAAAGGGUUCACUUCUUAGAUCCAACGUUAAUUGCGAAAGUUACAUGUUUAAUGACGUUGCGGAGAGAGGUUCUUUGAUGGUGUAAAUGGUUUUUCUCAAUCAUUGGAGAAGAAAGAAAGGAAGAAGAAAGAAAGGAAGAAUAAUGGGGUUGGAAGGAAAAUGUUUGGUUGAUUAAGUGAAAAGAGGAGUGACUCAAAAUAUUUUAAAUUAUGUUUACAAUCACUCCACAAUUCAUAAUUCAAAAUUUAAAAUUCAAAAUUAAAAACUCAAAUUCAAUAUUUAAAAUUCAAAAUUUAAAAUAUAAAUUUCAAAAUUUAGUUUUUAAAAAUAAAGAAGUCAGAAAAUGACAAAUAUCUCCUCUCAUAUAUUUUUAAAAUAACAAAAUAAAAUAUAAAGAUAAAAUUGAAAUAAAAUAAAAUGAAAGUUAAGAGGAAAAUCACUUUGAUAUAUAGGUAUAGAUAAAUACAAAUAUAUAUAUAUAUAAUAAAAAUAAUAAUAAAAGUAAAAAAUACGAAUGCUAGACAUUCAUAAGUUUUCUCAUAUGACAUUUGCUUAGCACAAACCGGACUCCACACCAUUCAACUCAACCAAAUUUGUGUCUCUUUCUCUUUUCUUUGCUUUACGUUACCCCUUUUUUACUCUUUUAUUAUUUAAUAAAAAUAACAGUGAAGAAGGGGUAACGUUAAGCAAGGAAAGAGAGAAAGAGACACAAAUUUGACUGAGUUGAAUGCUGUGAAGUCCAGCUUGUGCAAAGCAAAUGUCAUCUUAGAAGCAGGCAUCCAAUAGGCAGCAAAAGCAGAGAGCAGCCAAACUGUACAAUUCAUAAAUUCCGAAAAGUGAACAUCACCAUACAACAACAAUGCAGUGCCAUAUCCCAUUUCUUCUCCAUGCUAAUGAAUAUUAAAAGAACAACAAUAAUAAAACAUGAAAAAUUCAAAGCGAUAAUUGAAAAUUAGUUAAUUCGAUGUUAUGUAAUGUAAAGUUAAAACACAACACAAUAUUUAAUUUAAAGACACACAGUAUGAUGCAGUCUCCAAGAAAAUAAUGUAAAGAAGCACUUACGAAUGGUGCGCACAAUAGCUAAUAAAGUAUAACGUUGCGCCGACAACGGUCACCGAGUCAACUCAGAAAGAUCCAGAUCAGAUCUGACUCGACGGUCGAAAUUAGAGAGAAAGAGAAAGAUAGAGAGACGCACCAGCCUUCCAAGAACCGAGAGCCCUAUGAAUUUUGUUUAUGCUGAGGUGGAGGCGGAACGUAUUGAGGAGCGUAAGGCGAAGUGGUGUUGGGAGUAGCCAAAGUGAUCUUCAUUCUCGGAAGCGUUCGCGAGAAUCAUGGGAUCAUAACCUUCACCUGUACAUCUAAGCACCAACAAUGACGUGUGAUUUUCAUUGUUUUCUCUCUCGCUCCCUCUAAAAAAAACUCAAUAAAAGUUCAAAGAGAAUUAGAGAGAAUAAAUCAAAAACAAAAAAUUACACAAAAUAUUCAGAUGUGUACUCGCAUAAUAUUGACACGAAAACACACCUAGGGAGAAUGAAAAAGAGAGGGAAAAAAUGCACAAAUAUAAGAAAUAACAAACUUGCAAAGAAAAGAAAAAUAAAUUUGCAGAGAAAAAGAGAUGAGAAAUGAGAGGCGAAUAAAUAUAAUGAUAAAUAAUAUAUAAUCAUACAAAGUGUAACAAAGAAGUUGAGUAACGACGAAGAGAAUGUGCAUACCUAAAACGAAUGAAAGAGUUCUUUUUGUUGAAAGCAUGGAACUUUUUUUUUUCCUGCAUCAUUACUUACCGUUACACUUUUGGGAAAAUGGUUCACUUCUUAGAUCCAACGUUAAUUGCGAAAGUUACAUGUUUAAUGACGUUGCGGAGAGAGGUUCUUUGAUGGUGUAAAUGGUUUUUCUCAAUCAUUGGAGAAGAAAGAAAGGAAGAAGAAAGAAAGGAAGAAUAAUGGGGUUGGAAGGAAAAUGUUUGGUUGAUUAAGUGAAAAGAGGAGUGACUCAAAACAUUUUAAAUUAUGUUUACAAUCACUCCACAAUUCAUAAUUCAAAAUUUAAAAUUCAAAAUUAAAAACUNNNNNNNNNNNNNNNNNNNNNNNNNNNNNNNNNNNNNNNNNNNNNNNNNNNNNNNNNNNNNNNNNNNNNNNNNNNNNNNNNNNNNNNNNNNNNNNNNNNNNNNNNNNNNNNNNNNNNNNNNNNNNNNNNNNNNNNNNNAAAUAAAAUAAAAUGAAAGAUAAGAGGAAAAUCACUUUGAUAUAUAGGUAUAGAUAAAUACAAAUAUAUAUAUAUAUAUAUAUAAUAAUAAAAAUAAUAAUAAAAAUAAAAAAUACGAAUGCUAGACAUUCAUAAGUUUUCUCAUAUGACAUUUGCUUAGCACAAACCGGACUCCACACCAUUCAACUCAACCAAAUUUGUGUCUCUUUCUCUUUUCUUUACUUUACGUUACCCCUUUUUUACUCUUUUAUUAUUUAAUAAAAAUAACAGUGAAGAAGGGGUAACGUUAAGCAAGGAAAGAGAGAAAGAGACACAAAUUUGACUGAGUUGAAUGCUGUGAAGUCCAGCUUAUGCAAAGCAAAUGUCAUCUUAGAAGCAGGCAUCCAAUAGGCAGCAAAAGCAGAGAGCAGCCAAACUGUACAAUUCAUAAAUUCCGAAAAGUGAACAUCACCAUACAACAACAAUGCAGUGCCAUAUUCCAUUUCUUCUCCAUGCUAAUGAAUAUUAAAAGAACAACAAUAAUAAAACAUGAAAAAUUCAAAGCGAUAAUUGAAAAUUAGUUAAUUCGAUGUUAUGUAAUGUAAAGUUAAAACACAACACAAUAUUUAAUUUAAAGACACACAGUAUGAUGCAGUCUUCAAGAAAAUAAUGUAAAGAAGCACUUACGAAUGGUGCGCACAAUAGCUAAUAAAGUAUAACGUUGCGCCGACAACGGUCACCGAGUCAACUCAGAAUGAUCCAGAUCAGAUCUGACUCGACGGUCGAAAUUAGAGAGAAAGAUAGUGAGAUGCACCAGCCUUCCAAGCAACGAGAGCCCUGUGAGUUUUGUUUAUGCAAGGUGGAGGCAGAGCGUAUUGAGGAGCGUAAGGCGAAGUGGUUUUGGGAGUAGAAAAAGAGAUCUUUAUUGUCGGAAACGUUCACGAGAAUCAUGGGAUCAUAACCUUCACUUGUGCAUCUAAGCACCAACAACGACGUGUGAUCUUCAUUGUUUUCUCUCUCGGUCUAGAUUUUCUCUCUCUCACUCCCUCUAAAAAAAACUCAAUAUAAGUUCAAAGAGAAUUAGACACAAUAGAUCAAAAACAAAAAAUUACACAAAAUAUUCAGAUGUGAACUCGCAUUAUAUUGACACGAAAACACACCUAGGGAGAAUGAAAAAGAGAGGAAAAAGGUUCACAAAGAUACGAAAUAAAGAAUUUGCAAAGAAAAGAAAAAUAAAUUUGCAGAGAAAAAGAGAUGAGAAAUGAGAGGCGAAUAAAUAUAAUGUUAAAUAAUAUAUAAUAAGAAAAAGUGUAACAAAGAAGUUAGGUAAUGAAGAAAAGAAUGUGCAUACCUAAGAAGAAUGAAAUAGUUCUUUUUGUUGAAAGCAUGAAACUUUCUUGUUCUUUUUUUUCCUGCAUCAUGACACAGCGUUACACUUUCGGGAAAAGGGUUCACUUCUUAGAUCCGACGUUAAUUGAGAAAGUGACAUGUUUAAUGACGUUGCGGAGAGAGGUUCUUUGAUGGUGUAAGUGGUUUUUCUCAACCAUUGGAGAAGAAAGAAAGGAAGAAGAAUGGGGUUGGAAGGAAAAUGUUUGGUUGAUUAAGUUAAAAGAGGAGUGACUCAAAACAUUUUGAUUUAUGUUUACAAUUACUCCAUAAUUCAUAAUUGAAAAUUUAAAAUUUAAAAUUUAAAUUUCAAAAUUCAAAAUUUAAAAUUCAAAUUCCAAAUUUAAAAUUCAAAUUUAAAAUUUAAAAUUUAUUUUUUAAAAAUAAAGAAGUCAGAAAAUGACAAAUAUCUCCUCUUAUAUAUUUUUAAAAUAACAAAAUAAAAUAUAAAGAUAAAGAUAAAAUUGAAAUAAAAUAAAAUGAAAGUUAAGAGAAAAAUCACUUUUAUAUAUAGGUAUAUAUAAAUACAAAUACAUAUAUAAUAAUUAUAAAAAUAAAAUAUACGAAUGCUAGACAUUCAUAAGUUUUGAAUAUGACAUUUGCUUAGCACAAACAAGACUCCACACCAUGCAACUCAACCAAAUUUGUGUCUCUUUCUCUUUUCUUUGCUUUACGUGACCCCUUCUUCACUCUUUUAUUUUUGUUAAAUAAUAUAAAGUCAUGGGUUCAAAUUUGCAAUUAAAUCAUUUUAGUGCUUUCGUUUUUCAAUAUGUUGUUUAUGUUUUCAUGAUGGAUUAAGGAAGGAGUAGGAAAGAAAUAGGAAGAUCUAAAUUUUUUAGCAAGAGAAAGCAUGUGAAUGAAGCAAUUUGACCUUUGGAAGGAAGAAGUAGUUCAUAUUAUUUAAUAAAAAUAAGAGUGAAAAAGAGGUAACGUAAAGCAAAGGAAAGAGAGAAAGUAACACAAAUUUGAUUGAGUUGAAUUCUCUGAAGUCCAUCUUGUGCAAAGCAAAUGUCGUCUCAGAAGCAUGCAUCCAAUAAGCAGCAUCAGCAAAGAGCAGUCAAACUGUACAAUUCAAAAAUUCGCAAAAAUGAUUAUCACCAUACAACAACAAUGCAGUGCCAUAUCCCAUUUCUUCUCCCUGCCAAUGAAUAUUAAAAGAACAACAAUAAUAAAACAUGAAACAUUCAAAGCGAUAAUUGAAAAUUAGUUAUUUCGAUGUUAUUCAAUGUAACGUUAAAACACAACACAAUAUUUUAUUCAAAGACACACAGUAUGACGGAGUCUCCAAGAAAUGAAUGUAAAGAAGCAGUAACGAAUGGUGCGCAUAAUGGCUAAUAAUGUGUAACAUUGUGCUUGUAACGGUCACCGAGUCAACUCGAAAAUAUCUGGAUCAGAUCUGACUCGGCGGUUGAAAUUAGAGAGAGAGAAAGAUAAAGAGACGCACCAUCCUUCCAAGCAACCAGAGCCCUCUGAAUUUUGAUGAUGUUGAGGCAGAGGCAUAGCGUAUUGAGGAGCGUAGGGCGAAGUGGUGUUGGGAGUAGCCCAAAUGAUCUUCAUUGUCGGAAGCGUUCGCGAGAAUCAUGAGAUCAUAACCUUCACCUAUGCAUCUAAGCACCGACAACGAUGUGUGAUCUUCAAUGUUUUCUCUCACGCUCUAGAUUUUCUCUCUGUAAGGAUCUAGAAAAUAACCUUAGAGUAGAAUUGAUACAUUUUAAAUGAUACCUGAAUAUUUUAUUAUUAAAAUGAAAAGAGCAUAUAAAUAGAAAAUUCAGUUAUUCAGGUUUCAUUUUAAAAGAACCACCAUCUCUCUACAAGUUUUCUUUUCCCUUUCCUUUUCAUUCUCUCUAAGAUUCUAAGCUCCUUGCUCAUCAGUUUGACGAUCGGAGUACGCCAUUAGACUCCUCGCAGCAAGACUGCCCGAUCAAAAUCUAUAAUAGAGUAAGUUCAUUUUUGUAUCUUUUUCCUUUCUUCCCUUCUUUCUAAGAUUUUGACCUCCUUGAUUAUCAGUUUGACGAUCAGAGUCUGGCAUUGGAAUCAUGGCAAUGAACACUACAAGAUUGCCCAAUCAAAAUCUCAAAUAAAGUAAGUUCAGCUUUUUGCUCUUUUCUUUUAGUCAAAUUUUGAACUUGUUAGAUUGUCUAUGUCUAUGUUUUGCAUGUAAAUCUUUUAGCUUAAGGGUGAAUCUCUGUUACCUUAGGGUCUCAGUGAUAUAGUUAGAUUUUUUAUCAGGACUUUGUGGUGCAGGUUAAUUAUCUUUAAACUUUUGGUAGAUUUUGAGCUCUUAGUGAGCAUUUGCUCAAGUAAAGGUAAGGGAAGCUAGUCUUAUUCUUUUAAAUAGAACCCUAGGUUAGAAAAUCUAAAUGUGAGGGUGACGUGGUCACCAGUUCCAAUUUUUGCUGGUUGGAUUGUCUCUUUUGAAGAGUAAAGUAAUAUAUUGACUAAAAUGGUUGAUUAUGAAUAUUUUAUAUUGAUUUUAAGCUGAAUAAGUUGUUGAAAGUGUUUGAAUGAAUACAAGUGAGUUGAACUGUUUUUUAAUAUUUUGUUGAAUUACUUAAAUGAGAUAUUUGAUGAAAAGUGGUUGUUAGAUUUUAGAUGAUGAUUGGUUUAGAGAGCAUAUAUUUGGAACUUAUUAUGUGUUUAAGUGGAUUUUGAGAUAUAUUUGAAUUGUUUAGAAAAGUUUAAAAUAUGAUAUGAUUGAAUGAUGCAUUGAUGUGUUACAUGAGAUAUGGAAUGAUGUGAAAGUGAGAUCAAACAUACUAUUUUCAGAAAAGGAAAUACCGUGUUAUGAUUGUUGUUAGGGUAUAUUGAUAUGUUAGGCCUGUAAUGAGACAUUCUGACUCUACUGAUAUAAUGGAAUCACAUAGAUGAAGUUAUUCAGUUGGUGAGAGUCGAUGGAGGUUCAUAUGACUUUGUUUAUGGUUUGAAAUAUAAUUUGGUCUUUCAGGUCAUAUGAAUUUACCCUGUCAUACUAGAUGAUGAGAUAUUGAGAUAUUUAUGUGCAUGGUUGUGUGGAUUCACAACGAGUAGUAUGACACUUGUAGGUCUCAAGAUUCUAAUUUCAAUAUACAAGUCUUCUGGAAGUAGAGUCAAGUGUCUGAGUAUGUGAGUCAAUAAAGAUCUGACAUGAAUAAUGUGGAUGAUAGUUGUGAUAGACACUUGAUGAAUUUGUGUAAAUUAUGAGAAUUUGAUGGAUUAUGUUUGUUCUUAAAAGUUAAAUUUAUAUUAGAAUUUUAAAAAUAGCUAGCUUACCCUGUGCUUUUUUUGUGUUUGUUUUUCUUUAAUUUGUGAUGAUUGUGUUAAUUUACACGGGAACAUAUGAAGUUGCAGGUAAUAGAGCUCCUCAGUGAGCUAGAGGAACAAAUGUUUUUAUGUUGAAUUUUUGUUUGUAAACUCUUGUGUAUAUAUUAAAUCCCUAUGAAGAGGGAUAUCUUUUUUAUAUACAAAUAUGAGAAAGUAGUAUAUGUUUAUUUUUUAAUUAGAUAUUUCUUGUUUUACUAUUAUUUAUUAUAUAUGGGUAAAUUUAAGGAUGUUACACACUCUCUCACUCCCUCUAAAAGAAACUCAAUAAAAGUUCAAAGAGAAUGUGAGAGAAUAGAUCAAAAACAAAAAAGUACAAAAAAUAUUCAAAUGUGUACUUGCAUAAUAUUGACACAAAAACACACAUAGGGAGAAUGAAAAAAAGAGGAAAAAAGUGCACAAAUAUACGAAAUAACAAAUUUGCAAAGAAAAGAAUAACAAAUUUGCACAGAAAAGAGAGGAGAAAUGAGAGACAAAUAAAUAUAAUGAUAAAUAAUAUAUAUAUAUAUAUUAUGAACUUUUUAUGUGUUUUAAUUUUCAAUUACAUAUAAACUUUUGAACAUUAUUAUGUGUGCUUUAAUUUUUAAUUAAAUGAAUGGAUGAUUAUAACUUUAUACAUUAUUUUAUUUUAUUAUGAAAAGUGGUGGUUAAAUUUUAUAAUUGUAUAAAACAGAUUAUAAAAAAGAUUAUAAAAGAGUGGUUAAAUUUUAUUUAUUCAGAAGUAAAAUUACGUCAGUUAAAAAUGUCACUACUUACGUAUAUUAUGGCGUCAGAAUCUUCUUUAAUGAAUGUAAAUUGCGACAGUUAUAACUGACACUACUUACAUAUAAAAACCGUCACUACUUACACUGUGUUUAAAGUGGCGGGUGUUGCCGCGGGUAGCGCAAAACCGCCACAUUAAACUUUGUGGCGGCCAGUUCUAUGGCGGUUUGGGAAAACGCCACAAACAUAUAUUGUGGCGGUUAUAAAAGCCAGUUUAUACGAAAAAUAACCGCCACAAUAUACACUUUUUUUUGUAGUGAUAAUCAUAAAAAGUGCAACAAAGAAGUUGGGUAAUGAAGAAGAGAAUGUGCAUACCUAAGAAUAAUGAAAGAGUUCUUUUUGUUGAAAACAUGAAACUUUAUUCUUCUUUUUUAUCCUGAAUCAUUACACACCGUUACACUUUUGGCAAAAAAUGUUCACUUCUUAGAUUCAACGUUAAUUGAGAAAGUUACAUGUUUAAUGACAUUGCGAAGAGAGGUUCUUGGAUGGUGUAAGUGACUUUUCUCAACCAUUGGAGAAGAAAGAAAGGAAGAAGAAUAAGGCUGGAAGGAAAAUGUUUGGUUGAUUAAGUGAAAAGAGGAGUGACUCAAAAUACUUUGAAUUAUGUUUACAAUUACUCCAUAAUUCAUAAUUCAAAAUUUAAAAUACAAAUUCAAAAUUCAAAAUUCAAAAUUUAGUUUUUAAAAAUAAAGAAGUCACAAAAUGAAAAAUAUCUCCUCUCAUAUUUUUAAAAUAACAAAAUAAAAUAUAAAGAUAAAAAUAAAAUUGAAAUAAAUUAAAAUGAAAGUUAGAGGAAAAUCCCUUUUAUAUAUAGGUAUAGAUAAAUACAAAUACAUAUAUAAUAAUUAUAAAAAUAAAAAAAUACGAAUGCCAAACAUUCAUAAGUUUUCUCAUAUGAUAUUUGCUUUGCACAAACCGGACUCCACAACAUUCAACUCAACCAAAUUUGAGUCUCUUUCUCUUUUCUUUGCUUUACGUUACCCCUUCUUCACUCUUUUAUUUUUGUUAAAUAAUAUGAAGUUAUGGUUGCAAAUUUGCAAUUGAAAUUAUUUUAGUGCUUUCGUUUUUCAAUCUGUUGUUUAUGUUUUCAUGAUGGAUGAAGGAAAGAGCACGAAACAAACAGGAAGAUCUAAAUUUUUUAGCAAGAGAAAGCAUGUGAAUGAAGCAAUUCGACCUUUGUAAGCAAGAAGUAGUUCAUAUUAUUUAAUAAAAAAAAGAGUGAAGAUGGGGUAACGUAAAGCAAAGGAAAGAGAGAAUGAAACACAAAUUUGAUUGAGUUGAAUGUUGUGAAGUCCAGCUUGUGCAAAGCAAAUGUCAUCUCAGAAGCAGCAUCCAAUAGGCAGCAGUAGCAUAAAGUAGCCAAACUGUACAAUUCAUAAAUUCCAAAAAAUGAACAUCACCAUACAAACACAAUGCAAUUCCAUAUCCCAUUUCUUCUCCAUGCUAAUGAAUAUUUAAAAGAACAACAUUAAUAAAACAUGAAAAUUUAAAGCGAUAAUUGAAAAUUAGUUAUUUUGAUGUUAUGUAAUGUAACGAUAAAACACAACACAGUAUUUUAUAUAAAGACACACAAUAUGACGAAGUCUUCAAGAAAAGAAUGUAAAGAAGUAGUUAUGAAUGGUGCACACAAUAGCUAAUAAUGUGUAACGUUGCGUCGACAACGAUCACCGAGUCAACUUGGAAAGAUCCGGAUCAAAUCUGACUCGACAGUCAAAAUUAGAGAGAGAGAGAGAAAUAUAGAGAGAUGCACCAACCUUCCAAGCAACCAGAGCCUUGUGAAUUUUGUGGAUGCUGAGACGGAGGCGGAGCAUAUUGAGGAGCGUAGGGCGAAGGAUAGCCCGAGGCAGGGUAGGGCAGUGGAGGAUAGCCUAGCUGUGGGGGAUAUCCGGGAGGCGGGUAUCCGGGCGGUGGAUAUCCUUCCUUUCUGUAGCCCUCUGGUGAAUAACCUAGGGAUGUGAAUUAGAAUGAGAAUCCGAAAGAAAGUUUGAAAGAAUAAAAGGAAGGUAUUCUUGCAAGAUUGGUUACUCAUAAAGUGACUCCUUCUUCUGUCUGUCUUCUGGUUUUCAUAGUGAUGUCCACGUUCUUUCAUUGAGAUGAGUGAGAGAGAAACUAUUUUCACAAUCAAGUUAGUCUGAGUACAAUAAUAUGUAGGUGAGCUAAGAGUUAAAAAUUACUUUUGGUGCUAGGUCUCCUUUGAUAUUUAUACUUUUUGAAUGGACCUCAGUUGUUAUGGGCCUUCAAUUGUUAUGGGCUUGCUUGUUGGUCCAAGAGAGGACCCAAUCAUGCCUUAAUCAUGAUUUACCACUAACCUGGUUUAAUUAUGGAUAAUUGUGAAUUUAUGGGUUGUGUUUCGAUUAAAAAAGUUAUUCAACUUAACCGACCAUUCGGUCAUGUCGACCUUUUCGACUAUCCAAUAGUACAAAAGGAGUUAGAAGGAAGGAGGAACCUUGCGGUGGUGGAACUUCGACCGGUGGUUGCUAGUGCUGAUUGUAAUAACUCAUUGGGAAUGA
rnacentral:lncRNA from 1 species